CGGGGCGGAUGUAGCCAGUGGAUUAAGGCAGUGGA
rnacentral:tRNA from 1 species